rnacentral:tRNA from 1 species
GUCUUUGUGGUGUAGUUGGUUAUCACAUCUGCUUCACACGCAGAAAGGCCUCCGGUUCGAGUCCGGACAAAGACA